AUAAAUACCAAUCAAAUUGGAAAACCUUAAUAUUUCAGAAGGUUGCCUAGAUUUGUGACCGAGCUCUGACUUUAUAAUUAUAAAGGCAGAAAAGCUACGACGCGCGACUACGAGUAUUCUCCAAUAAAUGUCUAUAUGUAUAUCUACUGCGAGUAUAUUUUGAUACCAUAAUGGAAAGAAAGAGGAAGCGGGAAGGCGAAGCGGACGAAGAUAAUAAGGCUCCCAAGAAAGAAGAACGGGAGAGCCUCCCGACUGCUGAGGAAACAAAAAUCAUCAUAAUUUUAGCGCUUAAAUGG